rfam:Parcubacteria (Azambacteria) bacterium GW2011_GWC1_46_13 TX33_C0029, whole genome shotgun sequence.
GGGCGACUAGCUCAGUUGGUUAGAGCGCUUCGUUUACACCGAAGAGGUCAUAGGUUCGAAUCCUAUGUCGCCCA